ensembl:snRNA U6 U6 spliceosomal RNA
GUGCUUGCUUCAGCAGCACAUGUACUAAAAUUGGAAUGAUACAGAGAAGAUUAGAAUGGUCCCUGCACAAGGACAGCACACAAGUUCAUGAAGUGUUCCAUAUUUUU